UCGCUAGUAAUCGCGAAUCAGAAUGUCGCGGUGAAUACGUUCCCGGGUCUUGUACACACCGCCCGUCACACCAUGGGAGUCGGAAAUGCCCGAAGUCUGUGACCUAACCGCAGGGGGGAGGAGCAGCCGAAGGCAGGUCGGAUGACUAGGGUGAAGUCGUAACAAGGUAAC
rnacentral:rRNA from 1 species